CUUACCCACGUCUUCUGGAAUAAAAAAAGGCCGGAGUGACAAUAAUGACGACAAGAAAAGGGAAGAAACAACCCAACUCUUGUAAAUAUUAAAACGUUGUGUUUGGCAAGAGCAAAACCAACUUCUUCAAAGAAAAAGAAGAUGGAAAAAGGAAGUUUUUAUAUGAUUCAAACAUGGAAAAAUCCCAGUUCUUUCCUAAGGGAAGCUUCGGAAUUGGAAACUAUAAUUGAUGGGGUUGAAACAGUCGAUGAUGGCGGUGAUUGAAGCAGCGGAGCAUCUACGAAGAUCGGCAAUGAGGUUUGUCUUUGCAGCCAUGGCGUAGUCGCCUCUCUUUCUGCGACCUGUCUUUGCAGAUCUGAGUCUCUUAGUUAAGUACUUUUAGGCUAGCCACUAGAAUUACUUUUGGGCUAUAAAAUGCAUACUGCAAUUUUUGGGCUACUGGAUGAUAUAUGUUUGGGCCGAUGGGCUAUAAAUGAAUUUUGCUCUAAAAUCAAUUAGUCAUUUCUGUCUGCAUUACUUUUUAUCAUGAAAAGAAAAGAAAAGAAUAGAUCGUGAAUA